GACGAAGGUGGCAACCGUUGUUCGGAAUCACUGGGCAUAAAGCGCACGCAGGCGGGCACGCAAGCCAGGUGUGAAAUCCCUCGGCCCAACCGAGGAACUGCGCUUGGAACUGCAUGCCUUGAGGACGGGAGGGGAGCGUGGAAUUCCUGGUGGAGCGGUGAAAUGCGUUGAUAUCAGGAGGAACACCGGCGGCGAAGGCGACGCUCUGGCCCGUUUCUGACGCUGAGGUGCGAAAGCCAGGGGAGCAAACGGG
rnacentral:misc_RNA from 1 species